GACAGAGGGGGCAAGCGUUGCUCGGAAUUACUGGGCGUAAAGGGCGCGUAGGCGGGAUGGUAAGUCGGUCGUGAAAUCCCUCGGCUCAACCGAGGAACGUCGAUCGAUACUACCGUUCUUGAGGAUUGCAGAGGAGACUGGAAUUCCCGGUGCAGCGGUGAAAUGUGUAGAGAUCGGGAGGAACACCGGUGGCGAAGGCGGGUCUCUGGGCAAUUCCUGACGCUGAGACGCGAAAGCGUGGGGAGCGAACAGG
rnacentral:rRNA from 1 species